rnacentral:misc_RNA from 1 species
CCUCCUUAAACGAUACUCUGCUCAUCUCAGCUAAGUGCUCACACGAAUUACUUAAAUGCUAAUUACACAGACCCUCGCGGGUGCCUGUGACUUAACCGUCUCUGGCUUUAUUGUGUUGUUCUUUAAAAAUUUGGAUACAUGAGAAUUGAGAUUCUCAAGCGAACUUGUAGAUAGGCUUGAUCGAUAUUAUAUCAAUGACUCUAACCAUGAAAGUUUUUGUACUUCAUAGCUUGUAAGUACUAAGACGGUUUGGGGUUAUAUGGUCAAGUGAAUAAGUGUGCACGGUGG